rnacentral:ncRNA from 2 species
AGGGAACCGGGUGAAAGGCCCGGACUGCCCCCGCAACUGUAAGCGAAGAGCGCCAAGGAUCAUCCCACUGGCAACCCUGCCGGGAAGGGCCGAGGCGCGAUGAGACGCAAGUCAGGAGACCU